rnacentral:rRNA from 1 species
UACGUAGGGCGCAAGCGUUUAUCCGGAAUUACUGGGCGUAAAGCGUGCGCAGGCGGUUUUGUAAGCCAGAUGUGAAAUCCCCGGGCUCAACCUGGGAAUGGCAUUUGGGACUGCACGGCUAGAGUGUGUCAGAGGGGGGGUAGAAUUCCACGUGUAGCAGUGAAAUGCGUAGAGAUGUGGAGGAACACCGAUGGCGAAGGCAGCCCCCUGGGUCAAGAUUGACGCUCAUGCACGAAAGCGUGGGGAGCAAACAGG